rnacentral:rRNA from 1 species
AGAUAUGAUCCAGAGUACCACGGGACACGUGAAACCCUGUGGGAAGCAGGAGGGACCACCCUCCAAGGCUAAAUACUACCUAGUGACCGAUAGCGUAUAGUACCGUGAGGGAAAGGUGAAAAGAACCCCGGGAGGGGAGUGAAAUAGAACCUGAAACCCUGCACUUACAAGCUGUGGAAGCACAUUUCUUGUGUGACCGCGUACUUUUUGUAGAACGGGCCAACGAGUUACGUUAAGUAGCAAGGUUAAGCACUUAAGGUGCGGAGCCGUAGCGAAAGCGAGUUUUAACUGAGCGUUCAGUUACUUGACGUAGACCCGAAACCGGGCGACCUACCCAUGAGCAGGAUGAAGCGAAAGUAAAAUUUCGUGGAGGUCCGAACCCACGAGCGUUGAAAAGCUCGGGGAUGACUUGUGGGUAGCGGUGAAAUUCCAAUCGAGCCCGGAGAUAGCUGGUUCUCCCCGAAAUAGCUUUAGGGCUAGCCUCAAGGUGAGAGAUACGGAGGUAGAGCACUGAAUGUCCUAGGGGGUAUUGCACCUACCGAAGACUAUCAAACUCCGAAUGCCGUCAUCUUAUACUUGGGAGUCAGACUGUGGGUGAUAAGAUUCAUAGUCGAAAGGGCAACAGCCCAGAUCGUCAGCUAAGGUCCCUAAAUGUAAGUUAAGUGGUAAAGGAUGUGGGAUUGCACAGACAACCAGGAUGUUGGCUUAGAAGCAGCCACUCAUUCAAAGAGUGCGUAAUAGCUCACUGGUCGAGUGAUCCUGCGCCGAAGAUUUCCGGGGCUAAAACUUACUACCGAAGCUACGGCAUCAGUAAUGAUGGGUAGGGGAGCUUCCCAUACGGGUUGAAGCAUGACCGUAAGGACAUGUGGACAGUAUGGGAGUGAGAAUGUUGGCAUGAGUAGCGAGAUGUGGGUGAGAAUCCCACAGGCCGUAAACCCAAGGUUUCCAGGGGAAGGUUCGUCCGCCCUGGGUUAGUCGGGACCUAAGCUGAGGCCGAAAGGCGUAGGUGAUGGACAACAGGUUGAUAUUCCUGUACUACCGAUAACCGUUUGAGAGAAGGGAUGACACAGUAGGAUAAGCUAAGCACACUGUUGGUUAUGUGUGCCCAAGCAUUGAGGCAGUCAAAGUAGGCAAAUCCGCUUUGAUAAUGCUGGGAUGUGAUGGGGAGCGAAAUUUAGUAGCGAAGUAGCUGAUUUCACACUGUCAAGAAAAGUCUCUAUCGAGGUUAAAGGUACCCGUACCGCAAACCGACACAGGUGGGUGAGGAGAGUAUCCUAAGGCCAGCGAGAGAACUGUUGUUAAGGAACUCGGCAAAAUGACCCCGUAACUUAGGGAUAAGGGGUGCCACCAUCAGGUGGCCGCAGAGAAUAGGCCCAAGCGACUGUUUACCAAAAACAUAGGUUUCUGCUAAGUCGCAAGACGAUGUAUAGGAGCUGACGCCUGCCCGGUGCUGGAAGGUUAAGGGGAUCUGUUAGAGCAAUCGAAGCAGUGAACUUAAGCCCCAGUAAACGGCGGCCGUAACUAUAACGGUCCUAAGGUAGCGAAAUUCCUUGUCGGGUAAGUUCCGACCCGCACGAAAGGCGUAACGAUUUGGGCACUGUCUCAACAACAGACUCGGUGAAAUUGUAAUUCCGGUGAAGAUGCCGGAUACCUGCGACAGGACGGAAAGACCCCAUGGAGCUUUACUGUAGCUUGACAUUGGGUCUUGGUACUACAUGUACAGGAUAGGUGGGAGGCUUUGAAACCAGGACGC